AGAGUUUGAUUAUGGCUCAGGAUGAACGCUAGCGAUAGGCCUAACACAUGCAAGUCGAGGGGCAGCACAAGGAGCAAUCUGAGGUGGCGACCGGCGCACGGGUGAGUAACACGUAUGCAACCUGGCUGUAAGAGGGGGAAUAACCCGGAGAAAUCCGGACUAAUACCGCAUAAUACUUAGAAUCCGCAUGGAUUUUUAAGUUAAACAUUUAUGGCUUACAGAUGGGCAUGCGUAUGAUUAGCUGGUUGGAGAGGUAACGGCUCCCCAAGGCAACGAUCAUUAGGGGUUCUGAGAGGAAGGUCCCCCACACUGGUACUGAGACACGGACCAGACUCCUACGGGAGGCAGCAGUGAGGAAUAUUGGUCAAUGGACGCAAGUCUGAACCAGCCCAAGUCGCGUGAAGGAAGAAUGUCCUAUGGAUUGUAAACUUCUUUUGAAGGGGAAUAAAGUACGGUACGUGUACCGUUUUGUAUGUACCCUUCGAAUAAGGAUCGGCUAACUCCGUGCCAGCCGCCGC
rnacentral:rRNA from 1 species